rnacentral:rRNA from 1 species
GACGAACGCUGGCGGCGUGCUUAACACAUGCAAGUCGAACGGAAAGGCCCUGCUUUUGUGGGGUGCUCGAGUGGCGAACGGGUGAGUAACACGUGAGUAACCUGCCCUUGACUUUGGGAUAACUUCAGGAAACUGGGGCUAAUACCGGAUAGGAGCUCCCGCUGCAUGGUGGGGGUUGGAAAGUUUCGGCGGUUGGGGAUGGACUCGCGGCUUAUCAGCUUGUUGGUGGGGUAGUGGCUUACCAAGGCUUUGACGGGUAGCCGGCCUGAGAGGGUGACCGGCCACAUUGGGACUGAGAUACGGCCCAGACUCCUACGGGAGGCAGCAGUGGGGAAUAUUGCACAAUGGGCGGAAGCCUGAUGCAGCAACUCCGCGUGCGGGAUGACGGCCUUCGGGUUGUAAACCGCUUUCGCCUGUGACGAAGCGUGAGUGACGGUAAUGGGUAAAGAAGCACCGGCUAACUACGUG